UCCUACGGGGGGCAGCAGUGAGGAAUAUUGGACAAUGGAUGGAAAUCUGAUCCAGCCAUGCCGCGUGAAGGAAGAAUGUCCUAUGGAUUGUAAACUUCUUUUGUAUGGGAGCAAUAAGGUCUUCGUGAAGACUGAUGAGAGUACCAUACGAAUAAGCAUCGGCUAACUCCGUGCCAGCAGCCGCGGUAAUACGGAGGAUGCGAGCGUUAUCCGGAUUUAUUGGGUUUAAAGGGUGCGUAGGCUGUUAUAUAAGUCAGUGGUGAAAUAUUCGGGCUCAACCGGGAUACUGCCAUUGAUACUGUAUAGCUGGAAUAUGGUUGCUGUGGGUGGAAUGUGUGGUGUAGCGGUGAAAUGCAUAGAUAUCACACAGAAUAUCGAUUGCGAAGGCAACUCACAAAGCCAUUAUUGACGCUGAUGCACGAAAGUGUGGGGAUCAAACAGGAUUAGAUACCCGAGUAGUC
rnacentral:rRNA from 1 species